CCUAGAGGGGGGUGAAUAGGUGUAACGGCCAAAAACCACAAAUCUUAAUGCAAUAAAAGUAAAUGCGGAAAAUAAAAAUCACACCGAGAUUUACGUGGAAAAACUCCAACUUGGAGUAAAAAAUCCAUGGGACCAACACGCGAAAAAAUAAUUCACUAAGAGAAAAGAUUAUAAGGGAUUACUGACUCCACGGACUCGACCUCUCUUAACCUCCUAUGAAUCUCGCGCAAUCCUCCGAGUUGUCCAUGCCCUCACGUUCGAAUUCACGAACGUCUCACUCACGUCCGAAUCUACGAACGCCACUCGAAUCCACGAGCCCACGAUCCAAAUCCACAGACCGCCUUCGUUCACGCCGAAUCCACGACGUCGUCCAUGAAAAACAUCAUGCUAUGGUGAUCCUUCGCUUAGCAUAUCGAUGAAGAACCAGAGACAAAACUCUAAGCGAAGUCUUAGAUCAAUUCGACAUAUAGAUCUCAAAUUACGAUAUCUCGAAUUGACCUAAAACAGGUCAUUUUGUAGAAAAUAAGUUUUGGACGAAAUCCUAACCAAUAGGGUUUCUCAAGCAUGUAUUCUCGUGAUACUUAAUGAGUUAGAGAACCCUAAUAUCUUAUUUAUAGACUUUAGAAUCAAUUAGAGUCGGAUUAGAAAGUUUUUAGAUUUUUACACCUGGUACCGGUACUAAAUCAAGUUGUUACCAGUUACAAAAAGGACGACACAGAAAACUACUUCAAUAUUGAUAACCGGUUACAAUGUCAAUGUUGUAUCGGAAUCAAGUUAGUACCGGUACUCUUUCAAUGCUGUACCGGUACAAUAUACAAAUUUUCAGCAAAACUUGAUUUCGGGUUUCAUAAAGUUCCGAAGCACUUUCUAAUCCACUAAACUUUGAUUUUCAUAAUUCUAAUGUCUAUAACUAAGUAUGAAUCAUCAUAACAUGAAUUAAAAGCUUACUUGAGCAUCGUGAUUCAUGUCGUGAGUUAUUUCUGAUUUUUCCAAAGUCUUGGAUUCUUCGAUCUUCGAACGAUAUGCACCGAUCCUUCAAGACUCCGACUCAAUUCACGAAACUUGCCAACACAUAAUACUUAACAAUCUCCCCAUUUGGCAAUUUUGUGACAAAACACAAAAACUCAAAAAAAAAAUCUUAAAAGAAAAAACGAAGUUCAAUGUCAUCACCAAAACACCGAACCCCUCGCGUGUAAUCCAAAUACAAUGUGAAAUUCAAAAAUACAUCAAAUCUCCUAAAACAGACUCUACGACUUAGACGCAACUAGUAGUCUUAAAGUCUUGAUUUCCUACAAAACAAAUUAUCCAAAAACAAUGUAGAAAUUUGAAACCAUUGGAUUCUUAUUAUACCUUCAAGUCAUUGUCGAUGUCGAAAUUUCAUUCCUUCUCCCCCUUUGUUCUUGAAGUCUUUUCCUGCUUUGAUCAAAACCUGUCCAUCUAUGUUCUCCCCCUUUUUGUCAAAAAUUGCCAAAACAAUGCAUAUAGAGAGAAAAGAUACUAGAAAGCAGGAAAGUAGUCAUGUCAUAGUUACAACCCUAAAGAGAAAUGCAAAGACAAGCAAUGAUAAACUAAAACAUCGUCCUAAAAGAAAGACAAAAACAAACUAAGUGCGAAGAUGAAAUCAGUCGGUGUCCUCCUCAUCAUCAUCAUCUCCAGCUCCCUCUCCUCCUACGUCUGGUGUACUAGUGGAAGGUGGUAUAAGUGGAUGUGUCGAUGUCGACCUGGUAUAGGUAGGAAAUACAUCGUCGUGUCGACAUCCAAGCUUCUCCCAAAUUCUCUUCAUCCCUUCUUCCAACUUUUUAAACCUUUCUUAAUAGAAUGCACCUCACGGUGAAGUGACUCUACAGUAAUCACUCCCCCUGAACUCGAAGAUCCCUCAGCCUCUGCACGACGUGGAGGUGCGGAACUAGAAGCUGCUCUCGAAGAUCCCUUCGUCUACUGAAAAGUCUUCAAUGUGCUCACUGACUUGGCCCAUGUCACUCGAUCAAUCGGUCCAAGGCCAUAGUCAUAUUUCUCACACGUCACGUCUACUCCAUUUUCUUGCAAAAUUCGUGUGAUCAACAUAGGAAAUGGAAGUAGCUCACGUUGUCCCGAAGAUUGUAUCACGUGCACCAUUCAUUGCCAUAUAAGAAAAUGAAUGUUGAGAUUCAAACCAUCUGCAAGCUCAGGAUGGCCAAGUAGAUAUAGAAGAACAAGCCGAUCCCAGCAAAUCCUCUUAGUCCCAAUAGUCGAUUGAACAUUGUAACAAAGCACCAAGGACAAAAGGUGAUACUCCGGCUUCAAGUCCUUCGAUUCUACAUAAGCAUGGUUUGUCCUCGUUCCAUCUUUGCAAAUAGCACGAAUAACUGUGCCCCAGUGAGAUGAAGACUGAUAAAUCCCUGUAAUGAAGACCCGUGGUAUCGACAUUCAACCCCAAAAGCUCACCAACUGUGUGUGGGGUAACAAGAAUCCUCUGCUGACGUACAUAUGUCUCGAAUAAGUACGUGUCGGUCUCCUCAUCCACUGCAAGAACCUUUCCAUACAUGUAAAACUCCCAAAUGAGUUCCACACAAAAAGGUGAACGUGCCGGAACCCGUCCAACGGGCUCGAUAGGAGCUCUCUGCAGUAAACGCCCAAAGUCUGGAACCUCCUGAACAAGCUCCUUGAAAUUCACAUAACGUUCCCCAAGGCACGAUCUGCUUGAGAAUGCUUUUCGCCGCUCCGUUUGAACCUCUGCAGCGUGCUUUGAGCGACUUUCACGGCCACGAGCUCCACCUUCGCAUAUCACAGGGCCACCUGUGCUUUGCCUAGGAGGAGAACCCUUUUUCUUACAUGAGGUUUCAGCAGCUAUCCGUUUGCCUUUGUCGGUUCGAACAACUGUUUCUUCAGCCUCCUCGUGGGAGCUAGCCCGAUAAUCUGGAUCAGAAUCUGACGACUCGUCGACAGUACGAGUCCUCUUAGAAGCCCCACGACGGCCUCUACCGCGACCAUGACCAUGACCACUUCCCGUGGCCAUAAGCACCAAUAGAGCCAAAAGCAGUGAAAAUGCCAUUUUCCUACAAAAACAGACCUUGCAUGAAUAAAAUCUGUAAAAAUAGCAAAAAAAAUUAUAAUAAUCUUAGAAUGCAUAACUACACUAUUUUUAACUAAUUCGAGCAAGAUUUAUCAUAAAAAGUGGCAUUUAACAUGUAAUCCCGAAAAUUUGUAUAUAAUAAGGUAUAGAUCAUAGAUCAGCAAAAAAAAUGCAAUAUGUCAUGAUCUAAGUGUUCUAGAAGUGAGAAUAUAUGUAUAUAAACUGAUUCAAGGCAAAAAAUUGCAACAAAAACGGUUCAAAACUGAGAUCGAGCUUCGUCUUAGAUUUCGUUCGAAAAACAGCAAGAACGGGAGAAAAUGAUUAAAUCCGAGGAAGAUACUUACAAAUCGUUGAUGGAAACACGUGGAUCUGGAGGAGAAGAUCACCUGGGAACUUUAGAGAGCGAAAGAGAGAGAUUUGGUUGUGAUUUGAAAGAGAAACGAAAACCUGUAACCGGUUUAUAAAAUGCGGUCUACAGUACUGGUACCGGUACACGAUCUAGUACCGGUAUCGGUUCACAGAUUUCGAAAAAUUUUUCUUAGAAAGCUUCAUAAUUAAAUUAAAUUUAUAAAAAUUAAGGAUUGUACUCCAAAAAUCAUUAUAAUGAAAAUAAAAUAUUAUAAGAUUUCCAAAUUUAUCUAAACAUCAAAAUUUUGUUAUAAAAAAUAACCUAAUGAUUUAAAAUCAUCAAGAUGUAACGGUUAAUGAAAAAUGAUUUAAAGAAAUUCGGCAAAAUUGACAUCAAUUUGUCGCAACUCGUUCAAAAUAGAGAUUUAACCAAUAAAACACAGGGGGUGGCUCUUUGAGUAUCUUUUCAUCCUACUACCUUAUAACUCCGAAAAAUCUAAAAUAUUCAAAAUUUUCAACUUUUUCGGCUAUUCAAUUAAUUUCCAUGUGGUUGCUUCACACACUUACCGGACGACCGGGGUGGUAGCUCUUUCCUAUAUGUCGUGGUAGUUUUCACACUCCUUUUGGAUGUAACUCUUUCCACAUCUUUUAAACAUAAGAGUUUUUUUCUUUUCUUUUUUUAAAUCAUCAUUUUUUUUAAAAAAAAAUAUCAAACUCCCCCUAAAUUAGACAAUCUCACAGUUGAAAGUAAUUUUGACAAAUUUUAAUCUAUUAGCGAAUAUCCAUUCAUCAUAUUCAACAUACACAACCAAGAUAGAUUAAUCGCCAAGAGAUCAAAAUUGAUUCCAUAAUUUGGAUGAAUAUAUGUAUUAAGAAAUCAUAUAAUAAAUUAUCGCCAAAAUAAUAAAAGUAGAGUAAAACCGAUAAUUAAUAUGAAUUUAACUCAAGAUGAAAAUGAAUUUGGUUAAGGUACUUUGAAAAAAUUUAAUCUCCCCAAAUUAAUGAUUUUAAAAACAUCAUCUCUCUCAAAAAUUUUUCAAAAUAUAAUUCCCAAUCAUCUUUCCAAACCGAUUCAAAACAAAUUUCAAGCAUUCAAAAAUCGUCUAAACAUGUAAUGUAAUGAAUAAAAUAUGCAAUAAGUACCAAUCAAAGCAUUACAUAUAUAAAAACAAACUAAGACGAAUUAAGAACAAGGAAAGAUAUCACCUUUCCGGAUCCAAACUUGUCGGAUCGUUGGUCGUCUUGGCUUGUCGAUGUUAGGCACAACUCGUUUUGACUUUUGAUCCACCGUUGGUUGCUUCGUUGCAUGAGACUUCGGUUGAAAUUGCCGUUGAAGCUUUGAAUUCCAGUUUGCUUGUUGUACUCGACUAGAUUGAGUUUGCUUUGAAUUCCGAUAGGGAUUAAAGGGUGCCAUCAGACGUUUAGAAGUUGCCGGUUGAUUUUUCUUAUUUUUGUUCGGGCAACUCUUUUUGAUAUGUCCUUUGAUGCCACAUCCAAGACACACCUUUUCUUUUGAAUUUGUUGAGAUAUUAGAAAUUUGCUUUAAAUCCUUCUCAACAUAAGUCCUCAUAUCUGAGGCCAAGCUUGUUCGUUUGACCCAAUCCGAGCAUGUGAUCCAAUUUCUUUGAUCCGGAAGAAAACUUUUGAACGUCGGAUUGAAGUUGACAAACUUGAUUGGUCAAGACUUGAUUGGAUGCGUGAAUUUCCUUGAAUUGAUGCUCCAAAAAUCCAAUCUUGUCUUUAGAAGAUUUAAUCAUUAAUUCCGCUUCAUCAAGCUUCUCUUGGAGGAUUGAAUUGUUCUUAAAAAAUGAUUCAUUUUCCUCCUCAAGAGCUUUGUUUAUAAUCUUCUCAUUCUUGUUCUCCUCUUCAAGUUCCAAUAAAUGCCUCCUCAACUUCUUAUUAUGCUUCGCCAUCUUCUUUGAUUUGAUAAGAAGUUGAUUGUACACUUCCGCUAAAUCCUCGUCGUUUGACUCCUCGCUCUCGUCAUCAUUGCUCAAAGUACCAUGCAAGGAAGGAGAAACACUAGAAUUAGAAACAAUUGAGGAUAAACAAACAACAUUAGACGAAGGCAAAGAAGUGUUAGUAAAUAAAGCAAGAUUUUCAUUCUUUUCUUCGUCAGUAAAUAAAGCAAGAUUUUCAUUCUUUUCUUCGUCACUUGGAGUUGAUUCAUCCGAAGUAGAAUCAUCCCAAGUUUUUACUUGCAAAACCUUUUGUUUAUAACUUUUCUUAGAAGGACAAUCCGUAGAAAUAUGGCCGUAGCCUUUACAUUUGUAACAUUGGAUUUUUCCUUCAAAUUCAUCUUUUUCUUUAGAAGGCUUUGGAAGUUUCUUAUUCUUAGAUUUUGAAUUCGAGGAAUGUUUAGAAAAAGAUUUUUGCUUCGAAGAUGAAGCAUUAUUCGAUUUGUUCUUCUUUCGGAGCGCUCCUAACUUCUUCGUUAGGAACGCCAAUUGAUAUUCAAAAUCCGCAAUUGAGAUCUCUCCGUCGGAACCCGAGUCCUCGUCUUCCUCCUUUGUCAAUUUCAAUGCAACCCCUGUACUUUUAGAGAAAAACUUGGAAGAAGAUUGGUUAGUAGGAAAAGUCAUCUCAUAAGUUUGUAAAGCACCUACUAACUCUUCGACUUUCAUCUCGUCCGGAUGCUUAACUGUUUCGAUUGCGGCAACUUUUGCCCUAAAGCGUUCUGGAAGAGUUCGAAGAAUUUUUCUAACAACUUUUGAUUCUGGGAUUUUUCUCUCUCAAGUUAGCACAAGUAUUAACAACAUCUUGAAGUCGCGUAUAGUACUCAGUAAAGGUCUCGUUUUCUUCCAUAAAAAUUGAGUAAAAUUUUCUCGUUAAUACUUGCAAUUUUUGGACCUUUACGAAGCUAGUUCCUUCAUGCGUAACUUGUAGAGUAUCCCAAAUCCCUUUGGUGGUUUCACACGCCGAAACGCGAGUAAACUCCGUUUGAGAUAAUGCAUUAAACAAAGCAUUUAUUCCUUUACCAUUGAACGAAGAUGACUCGUUUUCAUCUUUUGUCCACUUAUUUCUCAGUUUAGGGACGGUAGCAUUAUCGACGACUUCGGUGGGAUGUUUUCAUCAGAAUUCGAUUGAUUUCUAUACCCGCUCAUCGAUUGCGAUUAGAAAAGUUCUCAUGCGAAUCUUUCAAUAGGCAUAAUUUGUGCCAUCAAAGAGUGGUGGUCGAUUAAUGUUACCGUCUUCGGCCAUUAGAUAACAAUAUAUCUAGAUCCGGCUCUAAUACCAAUUGAGAGUUUUGAGGAGCCCAAGGAUCUAUCUAGAUUGUAUCAAACACCUAGAGGGGGGGUGAAUAGGUGUAACGGCCAAAAACCACAAAUCUCAAUGCGAUAAAAGUAAAUGCAGAAAAUAAAAAUCACACUGAGAUUUACGUGGGAAAACUCCAACUUGGAGUAAAAAACCCACAGGACCAAUACGCGAAAAAAUAAUUCACUAAGAGAAAAGAUUACAAGGUGAUUACCGACUCCACGGACUCGACCUCUCUUAACCUUCUAUGAAUCUCGCGCAAACCUCCGGGUUGUCCACGCCCACACGUUCGAAUCCACGAACGCCUCACUCACAUCCGAAUCCACGAACGCCACUCGAAUCCAUGAGCCCACGAUACGAAUCCACGAACCGCCUUCGUUCACGCCGAAUCCACGACGCCGUCCAUGAAGAACAUCAU
rnacentral:lncRNA from 1 species